UCCAGGCCCCCCCGGCGUGUGGAUUUCCAUCUCACUGCCCCACGCUGUCUUAGCUUUCUGGCUUGAAAUGGGGACAGGAGGACAGGGUGGGAGGAUUUACCCAGAAAACACAGACGCAGACGCAUGAGUUGAAUCUCCAGGAUUUCCCAAGAACGCGGCCGCUGUCCCUGUCUUUCCAACCAUUUGAAAACUUCAGAAAAUCGGAGCUCUCCCAGCCGCGUCUGGCGGUGUCAGCUAAGGUCGGAAGGACCAGUUCUCUUCACGGUGACUGCUGCCCUCCGCUGCUCUCCUGUCUGGAUGCCAGUGCGCACUCCCUCACAGCACAGCUUCCUCAGGGCCCUGGCCCAGCCCAGGCCCAGUGCCUGGCACGCAGCCUACGCUCGACUGAGCUUCAUUCAUGAACACUGAGUGGGUCAGAGCUGCAGGCACUUUGCAGAUGCUGGAAAUAUCCAGGUGAUCGGGACAGGACGUGUGACAGCGUCACCAUCGGGACAGGACGAGUGACAGCGUCACCAUCAGCACGUGACGUGUGAUGACGUCACGGUCAGGACAGGACGUGCGAUUGUGUCACGGGACUUGCCGUCUAGAUCUGAUCGAUCCAUCCCUGAAUUAAUAACAGCGCAUUUAAAGCUACGCCU